rnacentral:lncRNA from 1 species
CUUUGCAUGUACUUAAUCAAUCUUCUGAAUCAAGUAAAGAUUUAAAAUGUUUUUUGAAAUCAUUAGGGUCCACAACUGCUUCCGCAAAAGACUUUUCAAUUAAGGUUGCAUUUCUUAUUCUAGAGAACUAGUCGUGUUUCCACAGACACUAUUUCACAGUAUUCAGAGUCUCUGUUUUCACCUCUAUCCAAACUCUUUUCAGAAUCAAAUUCCUACUUGAAACGAAAUUUUAAAAAAUAACUCACACGCAAGGUGCUACAAUUUUGUUAGAAGUCUGCCUUUUUUCCCCUAAACCAUUCAUCAAAGAUGGGUACUUUGGCAUGGCUAACAUUCAUUCAAAAUCAAUGUUUUGAAAAUCUUUUAAAAUCUCUAUCUAUACUGCCGAGGAAUCAUGAGAAAUUUAACGAAAUCCUUUUAUGAAAACUUUGUUGAACAUAACAAACUUUACUUUAAUAUUCAUGAACUAAAGUUGUACAUGCUUACAAACUAUAUUUACAUACAUUUGGUACUCACCUUAUGAAGUUUAGAACUCCAUAAGUGAUUACCUUAUUACACGCUUUCCUAUCUUCAGGCUAUCUAGUAUUUUUCUGAAUACAAGUGGUGUAUACAGAUUACAAAAG